rnacentral:rRNA from 1 species
UACGGAGGGUGCGAGCGUUACUCGGAAUCACUGGGCGUAAAGGGCGCGUAGGCGGCCGGGCAAGUCUGGUGUGAAAGCCCAGGGCUCAACCCUGGAAGGGCACUGGAAACUGUCUGGCUUGAGUUCCGGAGAGGAGGGGGGAAUUCCCGGUGUAGCGGUGAAAUGCGUAGAUAUCGGGAGGAAUACCGGUGGCGAAGGCGCCCCUCUGGACGGGUACUGACGCUGAGGCGCGAAAGCGUGGGAGCAAACAGG